UAACGCGUGGGUAACCUGCCUUGUACUGGGGGACAACAGUUGGAAACGACUGCUAAUACCGCAUAAGCGCACAGCUUCGCAUGAAGCAGUGUGAAAAACUCCGGUGGUACAAGAUGGACCCGCGUCUGAUUAGCUGGUUGGUGAGGUAACGGCCCACCAAGGCGACGAUCAGUAGCCGGCCUGAGAGGGUGAACGGCCACAUUGGGACUGAGACACGGCCCAAACUCCUACGGGAGGCAGCAGUGGGGAAUAUUGCACAAUGGGGGAAACCCUGAUGCAGCAACGCCGCGUGAGUGAAGAAGUAUUUCGGUAUGUAAAGCUCUAUCAGCAGGAAAGAAAAUGACGGUACCUGACUAAGAAGCCCCGGCUAACUACGUGCCAGCAGCCGCGGUAAUACGUAGGGGGCAAGCGUUAUCCGGAUUUACUGGGUGUAAAGGGAGUGUAGACGGUUUUGCAAGUCUGAAGUGAAAGCCCGGGGCUUAACCCCGGGACUGCUUUGGAAACUGUAGGACUAGAGUGCAGGAGAGGUAAGUGGAAUUCCUAGUGUAGCGGUGAAAUGCGUAGAUAUUAGGAGGAACACCAGUGGCGAAGGCGGCUUACUGGACUGUAACUGACGUUGAGGCUCGAAAGCGUGGGGAGCAAACAGGAUUAGAUACCCUGGUAGUCCACGCCGUAAACGAUGAUUACUAGGUGU
rnacentral:rRNA from 1 species